CACACUAUCAUUAACUGAAUCCAUAGGUUAAUGAGGCGAACCGGGGGAACUGAAACAUCUAAGUACCCCGAGGAAAAGAAAUCAACCGAGAUUCCCCCAGUAGCGGCGAGCGAACGGGGAGCAGCCCAGAGCCUGAAUCAGUGUGUGUGUUAGUGGAAGCGUCUGGAAAGGCGCGCGAUACAGGGUGACAGCCCCGUACACAAAAAUGCACAUGCUGUGAGCUCGAUGAGUAGGGCGGGACACGUGGUAUCCUGUCUGAAUAUGGGGGGACCAUCCUCCAAGGCUAAAUACUCCUGACUGACCGAUAGUGAACCAGUACCGUGAGGGAAAGGCGAAAAGAACCCCGGCGAGGGGAGUGAAAAAGAACCUGAAACCGUGUACGUACAAGCAGUGGGAGCACGCUUAGGCGUGUGACUGCGUACCUUUUGUAUAAUGGGUCAGCGACUUAUAUUCUGUAGCAAGGUUAACCGAAUAGGGGAGCCGAAGGGAAACCGAGUCUUAACUGGGCGUUAAGUUGCAGGGUAUAGACCCGAAACCCGGUGAUCUAGCCAUGGGCAGGUUGAAGGUUGGGUAACACUAACUGGAGGACCGAACCGACUAAUGUUGAAAAAUUAGCGGAUGACUUGUGGCUGGGGGUGAAAGGCCAAUCAAACCGGGAGAUAGCUGGUUCUCCCCGAAAGCUAUUUAGGUAGCGCCUCGUGAAUUCAUCUCCGGGGGUAGAGCACUGUUUCGGCAAGGGGGUCAUCCCGACUUACCAACCCGAUGCAAACUGCGAAUACCGGAGAAUGUUAUCACGGGAGACACACGGCGGGUGCUAACGUCCGUCGUGAAGAGGGAAACAACCCAGACCGCCAGCUAAGGUCCCAAAGUCAUGGUUAAGUGGGAAACGAUGUGGGAAGGCCCAGACAGCCAGGAUGUUGGCUUAGAAGCAGCCAUCAUUUAAAGAAAGCGUAAUAGCUCACUGGUCGAGUCGGCCUGCGCGGAAGAUGUAACGGGGCUAAACCAUGCACCGAAGCUGCGGCAGCGACGCUUAUGCGUUGUUGGGUAGGGGAGCGUUCUGUAAGCCUGUGAAGGUGUGCUGUGAGGCAUGCUGGAGGUAUCAGAAGUGCGAAUGCUGACAUAAGUAACGAUAAAGCGGGUGAAAAGCCCGCUCGCCGGAAGACCAAGGGUUCCUGUCCAACGUUAAUCGGGGCAGGGUGAGUCGACCCCUAAGGCGAGGCCGAAAGGCGUAGUCGAUGGGAAACAGGUUAAUAUUCCUGUACUUGGUGUUACUGCGAAGGGGGGACGGAGAAGGCUAUGUUGGCCGGGCGACGGUUGUCCCGGUUUAAGCGUGUAGGCUGGUUUUCCAGGCAAAUCCGGAAAAUCAAGGCUGAGGCGUGAUGACGAGGCACUACGGUGCUGAAGCAACAAAUGCCCUGCUUCCAGGAAAAGCCUCUAAGCAUCAGGUAACAUCAAAUCGUACCCCAAACCGACACAGGUGGUCAGGUAGAGAAUACCAAGGCGCUUGAGAGAACUCGGGUGAAGGAACUAGGCAAAAUGGUGCCGUAACUUCGGGAGAAGGCACGCUGAUAUGUAGGUGAAGUCCCUCGCGGAUGGAGCUGAAAUCAGUCGAAGAUACCAGCUGGCUGCAACUGUUUAUUAAAAACACAGCACUGUGCAAACACGAAAGUGGACGUAUACGGUGUGACGCCUGCCCGGUGCCGGAAGGUUAAUUGAUGGGGUCAGCGCAAGCGAAGCUCUUGAUCGAAGCCCCGGUAAACGGCGGCCGUAACUAUAACGGUCCUAAGGUAGCGAAAUUCCUUGUCGGGUAAGUUCCGACCUGCACGAAUGGCGUAAUGAUGGCCAGGCUGUCUCCACCCGAGACUCAGUGAAAUUGAACUCGCUGUGAAGAUGCAGUGUACCCGCGGCAAGACGGAAAGACCCCGUGAACCUUUACUAUAGCUUGACACUGAACAUUGAGCCUUGAUGUGUAGGAUAGGUGGGAGGCUUAGAAGUGUGGACGCCAGUCUGCAUGGAGCCGACCUUGAAAUACCACCCUUUAAUGUUUGAUGUUCUAACGUUGACCCGUAAUCCGGGUUGCGGACAGUGUCUGGUGGGUAGUUUGACUGGGGCGGUCUCCUCCUAAAGAGUAACGGAGGAGCACGAAGGUUGGCUAAUCCUGGUCGGACAUCAGGAGGUUAGUGCAAUGGCAUAAGCCAGCUUGACUGCGAGCGUGACGGCGCGAGCAGGUGCGAAAGCAGGUCAUAGUGAUCCGGUGGUUCUGAAUGGAAGGGCCAUCGCUCAACGGAUAAAAGGUACUCCGGGGAUAACAGGCUGAUACCGCCCAAGAGUUCAUAUCGACGGCGGUGUUUGGCACCUCGAUGUCGGCUCAUCACAUCCUGGGGCUGAAGUAGGUCCCAAGGGUAUGGCUGUUCGCCAUUUAAAGUGGUACGCGAGCUGGGUUUAGAACGUCGUGAGACAGUUCGGUCCCUAUCUGCCGUGGGCGCUGGAGAACUGAGGGGGGCUGCUCCUAGUACGAGAGGACCGGAGUGGACGCAUCACUGGUGUUCGGGUUGUCAUGCCAAUGGCACUGCCCGGUAGCUAAAUGCGGAAGAGAUAAGUGCUGAAAGCAUCUAAGCACGAAACUUGCCCCGAGAUGAGUUCUCCCUGACUCCUUGAGAGUCCUGAAGGAACGUUGAAGACGACGACGUUGAUAGGCCGGGUGUGUAAGCGCAGCGAUGCGUUGAGCUAACCGGUACUAAUGAACCGUGAGGCUUAACCUUACAACGCCGAAGCUGUU
rnacentral:rRNA from 1 species